AACACGCUGGCGGCAGGCCUAAAACAUGCAAGUCGAACGAACCUUCGGGUUAGUGGCGCACGGGUGAGUAACGCGUGGGAAUGUGCCUCUGGGUGCGGAACAACGUCGGGAAACUGACGCUAAUACCGCAUAAUGUCUACGGACCAAAGAUUUAUCGCCCAGAGAUCAGCCCGCGUCUGAUUAGCUAGUUGGUGAGGUAACGGCUCACCAAGGCUACGAUCAGUAGCUGGUCUGAGAGGAUGAUCAGCCACACUGGAACUGAGACACGGUCCAGACUCCUACGGGAGGCAGCAGUUAGGAAUAUUGGACAAUGGGGGAAACCCUGAUCCAGCCAUGCCGCGUGUGUGAAGAAGGCCUUAGGGUUGUAAAGCACUUUCGGCUGUGAAGAUAAUGACAGUAGCAGAAGAAGAAGCUCCGGCUAAAUUCGUG
rnacentral:rRNA from 1 species